GCGGGAAUAGCUCAGUUGGUAGAGCAUAACCUUGCCAAGGUNNAAGGUUGGGGUCGCGAGUUCGAGUCUCGUUUCCCGCUCCA
rnacentral:tRNA from 1 species